UACGUAGGGUGCAAGCGUUGUCCGGAAUUAUUGGGCGUAAAGAGCUCGUAGGCGGUCUGUUACGUCGGCUGUGAAAACCUGGGGCUCAACCCCGGGCCUGCAGCCGAUACGGGCAGACUAGAAUUCGGUAGGGGAGACUGGAAUUCCUGGUGUAGCGGUGAAAUGCGCAGAUAUCAGGAGGAACACCGGUGGCGAAGGCGAGUCUCUGGGCCGAUAUUGACGCUGAGGAGCGAAAGCGUGGGGAGCGAACAGG
rnacentral:rRNA from 1 species